CGGCUCUCUGUGGGAGGCCGCUGACAGCUGGCAGGAGCUGUGAGCAGGACGGUAGCAGGUAGCCCAGGAGUGACUGCGACCCACAGUGGCUCCAUAACAACCGGCCACUCAGUGGCCCAGCGGGUGCACUGUUGUUCAAUACGGCCACCAACUCUGGGCAGCCCGCAAACCUUUGUCCACCCCGUCCUCCAGCUCAGCUGCGGACCUUCAUUCUAGCUCCCACCCCGUGCUGGCAGCACUGCUCAGCCUUUCCGGACACUGUGAACGUCAGCUACUUGCAGUCGUGCUCAAGGGGCAUCUUCUAUCGGCGGGCAAGCGCUCACAAUGCUGUUACUCACCUCGGGUUUUGCAAAGGGUUUGGUGAAAUACCUACAGACUUUCCAGGUGAGAAGAAACAACGGUCCGUGUAAAGGAAACCAGGCAAGCAAGAAUCGGCACCAAAGUGUACCCAGUCCUGGGAUGGAAGAGGACUUUCUCAAGCCGGGCAGCCAACAGAAUGCCCAGCACCUGCAUGCCCUGGGCCUCUCGUCCAGUCUACAACCUCAAGCCAUGUGUCUGCUGCCCUAUCUGUCCCACAGUCUGCUCACAGGAGGCCAGGUUGCUCUUGCCAAACUGAAAGGACACCAUGCAGCCUGCACCCUGCAUUGCACUUGCCUGUGCAACGCCUGUCACCUAAAUUCAUCAGUUCAGCCUCACGGUUAAAAGAGGGACCUGAUUAGUCUACUUGGCUCCCAAGUCUAUUCUCUUAUAAUCCAUUCUCAAGGCUUCUGCCAAGGAACCCAAGAGCCCAAGACUUGAAAUCUUCAGCAGCUUCCUGCUGUCCAAAACAUAAAGCGCACCACAUUUGCUGUUCAGUGUUCGUCCAUUCAAUAACUACACUCGACCAUGCAUAAGGUCAGGGCUGGGACACAAUGAAAUCAACAGCAGGACCUUGUCCCCAGAGAGCUCACAGCCCAGAAGGGAAGACAAAAGCAAAUGAAGUGAUGGGUGGUAUAGUUUCACACUGUGAUGAUGGUCAUCGAGGGAACAAGUGCUCGGUUGUGGGGGGCGUUGAAGAAAUUUCUCACUGAGAAGGAAACAUUAAAGCAAGAACUCAUAGAGGAAAAGCAGCGGCCAGGGGAGACUUGAGGAAUGUGUGAUCCAGGCAUAUCUCAGUCUCCGAUUUAGGACACUGCUUGGCACACUGAGACAGGGCAGGAAGAAGAGUGUGGCUAGAAAGUAGAGGAAACUGAGGUAUGAAAGAAGGUUAUUGAAGGAGGCAAGGCCAAAUCAUGAGUGGUACUAGGGAUUGAACCCAGGGCCUUUGUACUAACUAAGCUACACUCCAAUCCUUUUUCAAAUUUUUUUUUUUUUAAUGUGAAACACAGUCUCACUAAGUCACUACCUUGCCCAGGGUAGGCUUGAACUUGCAAUCCUCCUACCUCUGCCUUCUUCAGAAUGCUGGGAACGCCUGCUUUUAUAGGUUAGAUGAAGAAAUUUAGAUUUUUAUUGCAAGUGUAGUGAGUAGCUUUUGAUGACUGAUAAGCAGGGCAGAGACACAAUCCAUUUUUGUUAUGGAAAUAACCUCCAUCUGCAUAAUGAUGGAAUGUGGAGUAGAGAGGGAACUGGCCAGAACCUGCCAUCACCCUAGCAAAGGGCAGAAGCUCAACUACAGUGGUAGCCCUGAAGACACGGGGAUCGGACAGACUUGGAGACAGGGCUGCAGGGGAAGAAGUGAGGGGAAAUGAGGACAGGAAGGAGAACGCUGAGGCUUCUCACUGGAAAAUCCAGGGAGUGGGGGCCCCCAGCCGAGACAGGGCAGAUGGAGAAGGCGGCGUGAGAGAAGCCAGUGAUAACAAUAAUUCAGGAAAGUCACCAGCUAGAUGAGGUGAGGUUGGACAGUGAUGCAGCCACCGCCACUGGGGCCAAAGGGGUGAAUUAAAGACAGCUGGAAAUGCCCCACUCGGUGAGGUGACAGAGACGGGACGAGGUGAUGUGGGAGGUCACAGUGACAAUUCCCGAGUGCACCCGUGAAAGAGAGAGGCCCUGCAAAUAAUCAGCGGCAUUGAGAUAAAGGGAAGCAUCUCCACCAAGAAAUUAGCGAACUGGCUUUUACAGUUAUAACAACAGAAUGUCAGCCACAGUGUGGCCAGGUUGGUAUCUUGUACUUCGCUCCUAACCUUAUAACUUGGUCCCUCCUUUAAGGAGAAAAUAGUUUGGCUGAAGAUAAUAACCACAACUCUGACCCAGUAAUUGCAUUUAGGGGACUCUAGCCUAUGAAACAACCCUAAAAUACUUCUGUGCCCCAAGCAUUGUUAGCGUUGUUUAUAGUAAAAAGUAAGAAAAAAAAUAGAUAACUGCAAAUAGUGAAGUCACUAAGAAAAUUACAGUGUAUUCACUCAAAGACACAAACUGGAGGUAACAGAAUGUGCUUAUGAUAUAAGAAGUAAAUAACAAAUGAAAAUAUGUUUGAAAGUUUGUGCUUAUGAGAUGCGCCCCGAAAAACAGAGUAGAUGCAUAAGUGAGGUGAAAUUAUGCAUGGUUAUUUCCUCUCUUUUCUACAUGAGUUGUAAUAUGGUUGGUAUCACUUUUAUAAUAAAAAUAUUUUAUUAAAUUUUGGGCAAUAUUAUUCUCUUUUGCCUGCAUGGAGAACAUUUCU
ensembl:lincRNA